AUUGAACGCUGGCGGCAGGCCUAACACAUGCAAGUCGAACGGUAACAGAAAGCAGCUUGCUGCUUUGCUGACGAGUGGCGGACGGGUGAGUAAUGUCUGGGAAACUGCCUGAUGGAGGGGGAUAACUACUGGAAACGGUAGCUAAUACCGCAUAAUGUCGCAAGACCAAAGAGGGGGACCUUCGGGCCUCUUGCCAUCGGAUGUGCCCAGAUGGGAUUAGCUUGUUGGUGGGGUAACGGCUCACCAAGGCGACGAUCCCUAGCUGGUCUGAGAGGAUGACCAGCCACACUGGAACUGAGACACGGUCCAGACUCCUACGGGAGGCAGCAGUGGGGAAUAUUGCACAAUGGGCGCAAGCCUGAUGCAGCCAUGCCGCGUGUAUGAAGAAGGCCUUCGGGUUGUAAAGUACUUUCAGCGGGGAGGAAGGGAGUAAAGUUAAUACCUUUGCUCAUUGACGUUACCCGCAGAAGAAGCACCGGCUAACUCCGUGCCAGCAGCCGCAGUAA
rnacentral:rRNA from 1 species